UUGUUGCGGUUAAACGUUCGUAGUUGAAUUUGUGUCCCACACGGGUAAUUGGCCCACUUACGGGUUCUUAUUACUUGCCGGCUUGCUGGCUUUAGUGUGCGGACGUUUUACCGGUGAGGGAAACGGUGUAGUUUCGGCUGCAAUACGCCCCUUAUUUAUUUCAUAAACCCGUCUUGGUGCUUUUAAUCGAGUGCCAAUGUGGGCCGGUACUAUUACUUUGAACAAAUUAGAGUGCUUAAAGCAGGCUAAAUUUAAUGAAAGUUAAAACGCCUGAAUAUAUUUUGCAUGGAAUAAUGGAAUAGGACCUCUGUUCUACUUUCAUUGGUUUUUAGACCAAGAGGUAAUGAUUAAUAGAAGCAGUUGGGGGCAUUAGUAUUACGAGGCGAGAGGUGAAAUUCGUAGACCCUCGUAAGACUAACUUAAGCGAAAGCAUUUGCCAAGGAUGUUUUCAUUAAUCAAGAACGAAAGUUAGAGGAUCGAAGGCGAUCAGAUACCGCCCUAGUUCUAACCAUAAACGAUGCCAGCUAGCAAUUGUAUGUAGCUACUAAUUUUGGUUCAUACAGUCGCUUUCCGGGAAACCAAAGCUUUUGGGCUCCGGGGGAAGUAUGGUUGCAAAGCUGAAACUUAAA
rnacentral:rRNA from 1 species